rnacentral:rRNA from 1 species
CAGUAGCCGCGGUAAUACAGAGGGUGCGAGCGUUAAUCGGAUUUACUGGGCGUAAAGCGUGCGUAGGCGGCUAAUUGAGUCGGAUGUGAAAUCCCCGAGCUUAACUUGGGAAUUGCAUUCGAUACUGGUUAGCUAGAGUGUGGGAGAGGAUGGUAGAAUUCCAGGUGUAGCGGUGAAAUGCGUAGAGAUCUGGAGGAAUACCGAUGGCGAAGGCAGCCAUCUGGCCUAUCACUGACGCUGAGGUACGAAAGCAUGGGGAGCAAACAGGAUUAGAUACCCCGGUAGUCCCUGUCUCUUAUAA